AACGAACGCUGGCGGCAUGCCUAAUACAUGCAAGUCGAACGAGAUCUUCGGAUCUAGUGGCGCACGGGUGCGUAACGCGUGGGAAUCUACCCUUGGGUUCGGAAUAACAGUUAGAAAUGACUGCGAAUACCGGAUGAUGACGUAAGUCCAAAGAUUUAUCGCCCAGGGAUGAGCCCGCGUAGGAUUAGCUAGUUGGUGAG
rnacentral:rRNA from 1 species